AGCUUUGCGCAGUGGCAGUAUCGUAGCCAAUGAGGUUUAUCCGAGGCACGAUUAUUGCUAAUUGGAAAUUAGUUUCUGCAGAUAUAUCCUUAAAUAGUGCCAUUUUUUUAAAUUUUAUUAUGUUAUGUUCGUCACCAUA
ensembl:snRNA U4 U4 spliceosomal RNA